UGUCAUUGAAAAUGCGUUGUCUCAUGAUA
rnacentral:piRNA from 1 species